UGGGGAAUUUUGGACAAUGGGCGAAAGCCUGAUCCAGCAAUGCCGCGUGUGUGAAGAAGGCCUUCGGGUUGUAAAGCACUUUUGUCCGGAAAGAAAUCCUUGGCUCUAAUACAGUCGGGGGAUGACGGUACCGGAAGAAUAAGCACCGGCUAACUACGUGCCAGCAGCCGCGGUAAUACGUAGGGUGCAAGCGUUAAUCGGAGUUACUGGGCGUAAAGCGUGCGCAGGCGGUUUGCUAAGACCGAUGUGAAAUCCCCGGGCUCAACCUGGGAACUGCAUUGGUGACUGGCAGGCUAGAGUAUGGCAGAGGGGGGUAGAAUUCCACGUGUAGCAGUGAAAUGCGUAGAGAUGUGGAGGAAUACCGAUGGCGAAGGCAGCCCCCUGGGCCAAAUACUGACGCUCAUGCACGAAAGCGUGGGGAGCAAAACAGGAUUAGAUACCCUGGUAGUCCACGCCCUAAACGAUGUCAACUAGUUGUUGGGGAUUCAUUUCCUUAGUAACGUAGCUAACGCGUGAAGUUGACCGCCUGGGGAGUACGGUCGCAAGAUUAAAACUCAAAUGAAUUGAC
rnacentral:rRNA from 1 species